rnacentral:rRNA from 1 species
ACUCCUACGGGAGGCAGCAGUAGGGAAUCUUCCACAAUGGACGAAAGUCUGAUGGAGCAACGCCGCGUGAGUGAAGAAGGGUUUCGGCUCGUAAAACUCUGUUGUUAAAGAAGAACAUAUCUGAGAGUAACUGUUCAGGUAUUGACGGUAUUUAACCAGAAAGCCACGGCUAACUACGUGCCAGCAGCCGCGGUAAUACGUAGGUGGCAAGCGUUGUCCGGAUUUAUUGGGCGUAAAGCGAGCGCAGGCGGUUUUUAAGUCUGAUGUGAAAGCCUUCGGCUCAACCGAAGAAGUGCAUCGGAAACUGGGAAACUUGAGUGCAGAAGAGGACAGUGGAACUCCAUGUGUAGCGGUGAAAUGCGUAGAUAUAUGGAAG